GCUAACUCUGUGCCAGCAGCCGCGGUAAUACAGAGGGUGCAAGCGUUAAUCGGAAUUACUGGGCGUAAAGGGAGCGUAGGUGGCUCUAUAAGUCAGAUGUGAAAUCCCCGGGCUUAACCUGGGAACUGCAUCUGAAACUGUAGAGCUAGAGUAUGUGAGAGGAAGGUAGAAUUCCAGGUGUAGCGGUGAAAUGCGUAGAGAUCUGGAGGAAUACCGAUGGCGAAGGCAGCCUUCUGGCAUAAUACUGACACUGAGGCUCGAAAGCGUGGGUAGCAAACAGGAUUAGAUACCCUGGUAGUCCACGCCGUAAACGAUGUCUACUAGUCGUUGGGUCCCUUGAGGACUUAGUGACGCAGCUAACGCAAUAAGUAGACCGCCUGGGGAGUACGGCCGCAAGGUUAAAACUCAAAUGAAUUGACGGGGGCCCGCACAAGCGGUGGAGCAUGUGGUUUAAUUCGAUGCAACGCGAAGAACCUUACCUGUCUUGACAU
rnacentral:rRNA from 1 species